rnacentral:rRNA from 1 species
GCAAUGCCGCGUGCAGGACGAAGGCCUUCGGGUUGUAAACUGCUUUUGUACGGAACGAAACGGUCUCUUCUAAUAAAGGAGGCUAAUGACGGUACCGUAAGAAUAAGCACCGGCUAACUACGUGCCAGCAGCCGCGGUAAUACGUAGGGUGCGAGCGUUAAUCGGAAUUACUGGGCGUAAAGCGUGCGCACGCGGUUAUAUAAGACAGAUGUGAAAUCCCCGGUCUCAGACUGGGACCUGCCUUUGUGACUGUAUAAUUAGAAUAUGGUANACUCCCAUGCUUUUCCCCGUUUGUCAAAGGCAGGCUCAUUAAAGUGCCCAAAUAACUGUANCAACUAAUGACCCCUGUUGCUCUCGUUGCGCUAAUUAACCCAACAUCUCACGACACAAGCUGAUAAAUACCAUGCUGCACCUGUGUUAAAGUUCUCUUUCAAGCACUAAGCCNUCUCUGGCAAAUUCCGUAGAUGUUAAA